AUAGACUUAGUCCUAACCUUACUGUUGGUUUUUGCUAGAUUUAUACAUGCGAGUAUCCGCAUUCCAGUGUAGAUGCCCUGGGUACCCUAAUUUCUAGGUCGACAGGAGCGGGUAUCAGGCACACCCAAGUUGUAGCCCAAAACGCCUCGCAAUUGCCACACCCCCACGGGUCCACAGCAGUAGUCAAUAUUAAGCAAUGAGUGUAAACUUGACUUAGUUAUAGCAAAUUAGGGUCGGUAAAUCCUGUGCCAGCCACCGCGGUCAUACAGGAGACCCAAAUUAACUUUAUCGACGGCGUAAAGAGUGGUCACAUGCUAUCCAAGUAACUAAGAUUAAAAAGCAACUGAGCUGUCAUAAGCCCAAGAUGCUCAUAAGGCCUCUCCCCUAAAGAAGAUCUUAGACUAACGAUCAAUUGAACCCACGAAAGCCAGGGCCCAAACUGGGAUUAGAUACCCCACUAUGCCUGGCCCUAAAUCUUGAUGCUCGAUAUUACCUGAGCGUCCGCCUGAGAACUACGAGCACAAACGCUUAAAACUCUAAGGACUUGGCGGUGCCCCAAACCCACCUAGAGGAGCCUGUUCUGUAAUCGAUGAUCCACGAUUCACCCAACCAUUCCUUGCACGAAACAGCCUAUAUACCGCCGUCGCCAGCCCACCCCUCCUGAGGGCCCAACAGUGGACGCAACAGCCUACCCCGCUAACACGACAGGUCAAGGUAUAGCCUAUGGAAUGGCAGUAAUGGGCUACAUUUUCUAAGCUAGAACACACGGCAAAGGGAUGUGAAACCAUCCCUGGAAGGCGGAUUUAGCAGUAAAGAGAGAUAAGAGAGCCCUCUUUAAGCCGGCCCUGGGACACGUACAUACCGCCCGUCACCCUCCUCAAAAGCGACCCCAACCCCCCCCAUAACUAAUAAGCUAUUCAGCCAAAGAUGAGGUAAGUCGUAACAAGGUAAGUGUACCGGAAGGUGCACUUAGAACAU
rnacentral:ncRNA from 1 species